rnacentral:rRNA from 1 species
CCUACGGGUGGCAGCAGUGGGGAAUAUUGGACAAUGGGCGAAAGCCUGAUCCAGCCAUGCCGCGUGUGUGAAGAAGGCCUUCGGGUUGUAAAGCACUUUCAGUGGGGAAGAAAGCCUUGGGGCUAAUACCCUCGAGGAAGGACAUCACCCACAGAAGAAGCACCGGCUAACUCCGUGUCAGCAGCCGCGGUAAUACGGAGGGUGCGAGCGUUAAUCGGAAUUACUGGGCGUAAAGCGCGCGUAGGCGGUCUGAUAAGCCGGUUGUGAAAGCCCCGGGCUCAACCUGGGAACGGCAUCCGGAACUGUCAGGCUAGAGUGCAGGAGAGGAAGGUAGAAUUCCCGGUGUAGCGGUGAAAUGCGUAGAGAUCGGGAGGAAUACCAGUGGCGAAGGCGGCCUUCUGGACUGACACUGACGCUGAGGUGCGAAAGCGUGGGUAGCAAACAGGAUUAGAUACCCGUGUAGUC